AGUGAACGCUGGCGGUGGGCCUAACACAUGCAAGUCGAACGGCAGCACAGUAAGAGCUUGCUCUUACGGGUGGCGAGUGGCGGACGGGUGAGGAAUACAUCGGAAUCUACUUUUUCGUGGGGGAUAACGUAGGGAAACUUACGCUAAUACCGCAUACGACCUACGGGUGAAAGCAGGGGAUCUUCGGACCUUUCGCGAUUGAAUGAGCCGAUGUCGGAUUAGCUAGUUGGCGGGGUAAAGGCCCACCAAGGCGACGAUCCGUAGCUGGUCUGAGAGGAUGAUCAGCCACACUGGAACUGAGACACGGUCCAGACUCCUACGGGAGGCAGCAGUGGGGAAUAUUGGACAAUGGGCGCAAGCCUGAUCCAGCCAUACCGCGUGGGUGAAGAAGGCCUUCGGGUUGUAAAGCCCUUUUGUUGGGAAAGAAAAGCAGCAGGUUAAUACCCCGCUGUUCUGACGGUACCCAAAGAAUAAGCACCGGCUAACUUCGUG
rnacentral:rRNA from 1 species